CCAGGCUGAGCUCCCCUGGCUGCUCCUUAUCAGUCUUGUGCUCCACACCCUUCCUCAGCUCAGUUGCCAUUCUCUAGACAUACUCCAGCACCUGAAUGUCUUUCUUGGAGUUGAGGGACCCAAAACUCCACGCAGGAUUCAAGGUCAACCACGACUAAACAGAUCCUCCUGUAGAUGUGUGAGCUGUGCCCUGCAGAACAGAAAGCUGAAGACUGGUGGACUGAGAUGCUGAGCCUCCAGAACCCCAUCUUGGAAAUAGGAGCCACAAAACCCUUUUAAGCUUCAAACCAGGAUGUAGGUGACUUCUGUGUCUGUAGAAAUCUGCUCCAAACUGGCCCUCACCUUAGAGCAUUAAGUAGCAGGGAUGUUUAUACAAGUACAAAGGAAAUUAGACUUCAUCUUUUGUGCUCAGUCUAAAGCUCAGUGAGACCCACCUACCAGUAAAACCAAUGGAAAGACUUCAAAGGACUUUACAGGAUUUGUCUGAGACCUGACCAAUCCAGGAAAAAAAAAAGAUAUAUCAGUAAAUCACAAUGCUUUUAAUGCUCCCAGCCAAUGUUAAAUAAUCCUAUAAAAGAGAGUAACCUAUGGGAUCUCUCCAUGCUUUUAUACUUUAUCAAAAUUAAUGAGAGAUGCAGAUUAAGGUUGAAUUGAAACAUUGCUGCUUAUAGCCAGGAGAAUACAGGAUAGGACACGGUGUAAUUGUUUUAAACUAAAACAUUGUCUAUUCAGACGAGAUAUAAGGAAUUAUUUUUUAUAAGGAAGGUGGUGACACACUGGCACAGCUUGCCCAGGGCAGCUACAGAUGCCUCAGCCCUGAAAACAUUCAAGGUGAGGUUGAUCAGGUCUUGGUACAAGCUUGUCUAGUUGAAGAUGUCUGCUCAUUGUAGGGGGGCUAAACUAGAUGAACUUUAAAGCUCCUUUCUAACACAAACUAUUCUGUGACUCUAUGUAGAGUCAUCAGAGCAGCUGAACAAGGCUGUACCACCAGGAAACCACACAGAGCUGAGACAGCUUGGGAGCUUCCAUUGCUCUAUGGAAGAGUUCCACCUCACCCUUCAAAAUUCUGAGGAUAACUCAAAAAAAUCUGAGCUGCUGCUAUGGUUUUCAGGACAUUCCCAUAAACCAGAGCAAUAGCUUCAGUUACAGAACAGAAAUCUGCCAACAGCACGUCUACAUUCCUGAAGGCCCAUCUGUGGAAAAUCAUGCCUCAAGUAGAAAUAUAAACCAGCCACUAAUUCAAAUAAUGUGUGAGAAAGGGGAACUGCCUUGUGUUUCUUUUUAGUGGUCUCCUUUUCUUUCUGUAUCUUCUGGUUAGAUAUUAUGCUUUUAUGUUUAUACUGCCUAUAUUUUUGACCACUUCCAAAGAGCAGCAGUAAGGAAGCAUACAGCACAAACUUAGGAUUAAUUCAAUAAUUAGGAACAUUAAUAUUAUGUUACUGGGCAAGUGUUUCUGCCUUUUCUCCCUCUAGCACUCAGUUUCCUUAUGCCAUAGGGAUGUCAACUGAUGGCAAAGUAACAAAAAUAAACCCAGGCUGAUGAAUUUAUUGCUUAUGCAUCUCUUCCUAGCUGUCAUCCUCAUAAUAUUUUACAGCCUCCAGAAGUAGUCUCCACACUGCAGCUGAGCAUGGUUGCUGCACCACAGUGAGGUGCAGGGGCCAUGUCCUGGCCCAGUCCAAGAGGGUCUCUCCUGCACCCUGGAAUGUCAGCAGGGAUGGCAUCCACCAGCCAGAGACCCUAAUCACACUGCACACCCAACUCCAGUUCCUCUGGCAGCAAGGCCUGGCACUGUGGUAGAAAAUAAGGAAAAAGGGGGGAUUUGGCAUCAUCUCAUGGAAGGUUUUUGAGAAAUCUGUGGUUGAGCUGUGAUUUGAGAUGUCCUUAAAUAUUCCAAAUUAAAUACUUUGCGGAAUUUUUCUUUUUUUUUACACUAAUAACAAGCAAUUACAUUGUUUAAAUGAUUUUUAAACACUUGGCUUACGUUUCAGGAUCUUUGUUGCUGCUUCAGGAUUUUUUAUUUGUUUUCUUAACUAAAGCAGCAAUUAGGUUAUUUCUAUUUUCAUUUCCAGAAUGCUUAUCCCACACCCUGAAGCACCCAGAACUUUUCUGUGCCUGAUACUGCUGUAACUUGCUUUUGCUCUCCUGAUUUCACAGGUACUUUCAAGUCACCCUGAAAACAUUUCUGUUCAUGCUAAAUUUUGCAAACUCUCUGCAAGUCAGUCUGAGGCUGCACAUAAGUGAAUUUUCAGUUCAAAGGUAUAUGGCAUAUUUCUGCUGACCUCUGUCAGGGCUUUCCUUGUCUCCAGCCUCCUUCCCCAUACCUGCUGUAAAAACAGCUUUAAAAUCUCUUUUUUCUGGAUAUUUUAAAUCCUCCAAGAUGCUGGAGCAAGGUUCCAAAGGGUUAAGAUGGAGGAGGCCCCCAGAAGGCUCAUUCUGCAGUCUCAAUGACCGAAAGCUUUUGCCUUUUCAAAUAUAUUUAACCAAAUAAAGUGAAUAGAGGAUAUGCAAAUGCCUUUUCCAAAAGGAAACACAGCCCUGAAUUGUUGUUGGCAGGUCAGAGCAUCACACCACCCUCAGCAGCCUCUCAGCUGCAGGAGAUUCAGGCUAGAGGAGGCGGUGGCACAAAAAGACUCUUUUCAGGCAGAAAGAAAGCAGGACUUGGGUAUUCCAAGGAGACAGAGGGAGGAGGUCACUGGGGAUGGCUCCCCCGGCACCUCAAAACCCUGGUUCUCUGUGAAGGUGAUGAGGCCCUGGCACAGAUUGUCCAGAGAAGCUGUGGCUGCCCCAUCCCUAGAAGUGUUUAAGGCCAGGUUGGACGGGUCUUGGGGCAACCUGGUUUAGUGGCAGGUGUCCCUGCCCUGCAGUAACAUGAGUGGGGUGCACAAGGGACACCCGCAGUGAAAAAAGGUUCAGGGGACAUCAGGACAUUGGCACAACUUGGGUGACUUUCACAAGCUGGUGCUCACAGACUAUCCACAAGCUGCUCUCAGCUCCAAGGAGCUAUUUCAACGUUUGGUAGUGUGUUGUUUUGGGCUAGAAAUAUACUUUAUCAGGCAUUUCACAUCAAGAUUUGGGUUGGAAAAAGCAGACCUCAUGUCCUGAUUUAAAGGACAGGUGUCUGCCAAGGAAGGCAGGAGCCUCCCUUGGAAUGGAAAAUAUUACCCCCUUCCCUCCAAAUUAUUGUAACUUUGAGAAUAUGGGGCUUUCAGGCAAAGAUAUGUGAAAAGCAGUAACAGUUCUUCACUAAUAUGUAUGUGUAUAACAAGGCAAAGAAAGCACAAGAAGGACAAACAACAGCAGAACCAGCAGCCCUCUCUUGGCUGUCUCCCCUCUCCCCGGGUGCAGUUCCGGGCACGGCCGGCAGGGGCGCUGCUGGCUCCCGGCCGGGCAGGGCGGGUGCGAUGAUUCCCCCGCGCCUGCAGGGGCGCUGUGGCGCAGCUCGGCCGCCUCGCUGCGUGUGGGUAAUGGUGGGCAGGCCGGCAGGAAAGAGGGGAAAGGGAUUUCCUUUGCAAAGCCCAUGGGGCAGCCGGUCCCGGUGCCCCUCCGGAUGGCGGAACGGGCAGCAGGAGGAACCUCGGAGCAGAAGCUGGAAUGGCAGAGGAGAUAUAACAUCACUCUUAAGGAGAUGGGCUUAACAUAGCAGAAGUCUGGGAGUAGCCCAAAGAUACCCAGAAAGAUAAAAGGUCAUCAAGGAAACACCUCUAUGAAUAUCUACCCCCAGAUGCCACCUCUUGCAAAGUUGAAGACAUCUGGUCCAGAAAGCACUGGUAAGAAAAUCAAAGAAUGAAGAUCUAAUUAACAUUGGAGGGCAAGAAAUUCGGAUCCAAUGGAAAACUGAGUACUAGGGUUGCUCAACUAGAGUUUGAAGACCAAUGAACUUUGAAACAGUGCAUCUCUAUGGGUUUUGACUGUAUAAAGUUUGGGGGGGAAUUCCUGCAAAAGCAUGUGUCAUGGAGUGUUUCUCUCUGCACACCUGGGCUAUGUGUGGAUGAGAUUAUUUCAGUGGUAUAUUCUUGCAAGAGUAAAGUAAUGCCUUGACUCUCUAGCCUUAAAAAUUUUGUUGGAGGGGUUUUCCUUUUCCUGCAGUUAUGGUGACAGAACUCUGUUGGUGGCGAAUUCUUCCCACAGCAACCACAGCCCAGCCAUCUCCCCUCUGAUCCAAGAGUGAGAAGCUGAAUCCAGCCCCUCACCCCCCAGCCAAAAUCUCACAGGAUCUCUGCCCUUCCCAGGAGAAACCCCUCAGCUAAGAGAGUAGCCAGCUGCCUCUUCCUCACUCCUCCUCCCAUCCACAUCUUUUGUGCUCUUAAGUACCGGUUGUUAUUAUCUCUUGGGCAUCAAAGGGGAUAAAAUUCCCUGAGAGAAAGAAAAAAAAAAAAA